rnacentral:rRNA from 1 species
GAUGAACGCUGGCGGCGUGCUUAACACAUGCAAGUCGAACGGAAAGGCUCCUGCUUGCAGGGGUACUCGAGUGGCGAACGGGUGAGUAACACGUGGGUGAUCUGCCCUGCACUUCGGGAUAAGCCUGGGAAACUGGGUCUAAUACCGGAUAGGACGAUGGUUUGGAUGCCAUUGUGGAAAGUUUUUCGGUGUGGGAUGAGCUCGCGGCCUAUCAGCUUGUUGGUGGGGUAAUGGCCUACCAAGGCGUCGACGGGUAGCCGGCCUGAGAGGGUGUACGGCCACAUUGGGACUGAGAUACGGCCCAGACUCCUACGGGAGGAAGCGGUGGGGAAUAUUGCACAAUGGGCGCAAGCCUGAUGCAGCGACGCGGCGUGGGGGAUGACGGCCUUCGGGUUGAAAACUCCUUUCGCUAGGGACGAAGCGCAAGUGACGGUACCUGGAGAAGAAGCACCGGCUAACUACG